AAGUACUGUUGUUUUGUGUAGAAAAGCCAGGUGAAAGACAAGUACUGUUGUUUUGUGUAGAAAAGCCAGGUGAAAGACAAGUACUGUUGUUUUGUGUAGAAAAGCCAGGUGAAAGACAAGUACUGUUGUUUUGUGUGGAAAAGCCAGGUGAAAGACAAGUACUGUUGUGUUGUGUAGAAAAGCCAGGUGAAAGAGAAGUACUGUUAUUUUGUGUAGAAAAGUCAGGUUAAAGACAAGUACUGUUGUUUUGAGUAGAAAAGCCAGGUGAAAGACAAGUACUGUUGUUUUGUGUAG